rnacentral:misc_RNA from 1 species
GGUUCUGCUUGGAUGAUGCUUUCCCGACCUUUUAUGGAAUAUUGCCUAUGGGGUUGGGACAAUCUCCCAAGGAUAGUCCUCAUGUAUUAUGCGAACUUCCUCUCUUCUCCUGAGGGGUAUUUCCACACAGUGAUCUGCAAUGCUGAGGAGUUCAAGAACACUACUGUUAACCAUGAUCUUCACUUCAUAUCUUGGGACAACCCACCGAAGCAACACCCACAUUUUCUUACUGUUGAUGACUACCAGAGGAUGGUUGACAGCAAUGCUCCAUUUGCAAGGAAAUUUGGCAAGAAUGACCCGGUUCUUGACAAGAUUGAUUCUGAGAUUUUGGGUCGCAUGGCUGAUGGGUUUGUACCAGGUGGGUGGUUCAGCAAUGAAGGAGAUGCAAAUGGGACCAUCCCUGAUAAUAUCAAAACAAACACCACUGAACUUAAGCCUGGUCCUGGUGCUCAAAGGCUCAAGCAUCUGAUCACCAAUCUUUUGUCUGCAGAAAAUUUUCACUCAACUCACUGCAUCUGACUUGGUGAUAUUCUGAUGUCCAGAGAAACAAUGACGCAGAAAGGCACCAUUUUUACUUUGUCAUUGAUGGAUCCUUUCCAUUGGUAACAGAAGACUGCUAAUGGGACAAAUAACAAGACUAUAGGAACAAAUGGGUGAAGGAAAACAAUGUGUCGUCUGAAGUAUAUGUUAUACACAUAUUUUUGUAGCUCAAUAUACCUGGAUAGGCCAAAUGUAUAUCAUUUAUAAAAUGUCAGCCAUUCAUGCUUUAAAAAUAUGUGUAUAACAUAUA